rnacentral:rRNA from 1 species
GAUGAACGCUGGCGGCGUGCCUAAUACAUGCAAGUCGAGCGAACAGACGCGGAGCUUGCUCCUCUGACGUUAGCGGCGGACGGGUGAGUAACACGUGGAUCACCUCCCUAUAAGACUGGGAUAACUUCGGGAAUCCGGAGCUAAUACCGGAUAAUAUGUUGAAUCGCAUGGUUCAACAGUGAAAGACGGUCUUGCUGUAUCGUCUCGAUGGUUAUGCGCCGCAUUGGCUGGUUGGGAAGGUAACGGGUUUUUACGGGAACGAGGCGUAGGCGACGGGAGGGAGUGAUCGGCCACACGGGAGCGGAGACGCCGACCAUAGGCCUACGGGAGGGAGCAGUAGGGAACGGGACGCAAUGGGCGAAAGUCUGACGGAGCAACGCCGAGUGAGAGAAGAAGGUCUUCGGAUCGUAAAACCCGGUUAUGGGUGAAGAACAAAUGUGUAAGUAACUAUGCACUUAGUGACGGUACCUGAUAAGAAAGCCACGGCUAACUACGUG